rnacentral:tRNA from 1 species
UUGCCCGAUAGCGCACGCGCGCAUGUCGUGACGUGCGAUGUGACCGACGAGGCGAGUGUGUCGGCGGCGUUCGAAUCCGCGCGCGCGGG